GUGUGUAUGUAUGUCUUCAAUUGCUGGUAAGUAACUUUCUUGCACUGAGGUCUGUUUGUUGCAAAUAUCUUUGACUUGUUUUUAUGUCUUAUAAUGUUUAUGUGUGUAUUUAUGUCUUGUAUUGCUGGUAAGUAACUUUCUUGCACUGAGGUCUGUUUGUUGCAAAUAUCUUUGACCUGUUUUUAUGUCUUAUAAUGUUUAUAUUUGUAUUUAUGUCUUGUAUUGCUGGUAAGUAACUUUCUUGCACUGAGGUCUGUUUGUUGCAAAUAUCUUUGACUUGUUUUUAUGUCUUGUAAUGUUUAUGUGUGUAUUUAUGUCUUGUAUUGCUGGUAAGUAACUUUCUUGCACUGAGGUCUGUUUAUUGCAAAUAUCUUUGACCUGUUUUUAUGUCUUAUAAUGUUUAUAUUUGUAUUUAUGUCUUAUAUUGCUGGUAAGUAACUUUCUUGCACUGAGGUCUGUUUGUUGCAAAUAUCUUUGACCUGUUUUUAUGUCUUAUAAUGUUUAUAUUUGUAUUUAUGUCUUAUAUUGCUGGUAAGUAACUUUCUUGCACUGAGGUCUGUUUGUUGCAAAUAUCUUUGACUUGUUUUUAUGUCUUGUAAUGUUUAUGUGUGUAUUUAUGUCUUGUAUUGCUGGUAAGUAACUUUCUUGCACUGAGGUCUGUUUGUUGCAAAUAUCUUUGACUUGUUUUUAUGUCUUGUAAUGUUUAUGUGUGUAUUUAUGUCUUGUAUUGCUGGUAAGUAACUUUCUUGCACUGAGUUUUGUUUGUUGCAAAUAUCUUUGACUUGUUUUUAUGUCUUGUAAUGUUUAUGUGUGUAUUUAUGUCUUGUAUUGCUGGUAAGUAACUUUCUUGCACUGAGUUUUUUUUGUUGCAAAUAUCUUUGAUUUGUUUUUAUGUCUUAUCAUGUUUAUAUGUGUAUUUAUGUCUUGUAUUGCUG
ensembl:lncRNA